rnacentral:lncRNA from 1 species
CAGAGAUCAUAAGUAGGCAGAGAGGCAGGCAGAGAGAGAGAGGGGUAAGCAGGCUCCCCGCUGAGCAGAGAGCCCAAUGCUGGGCUCGAUCCCAGGACCCUGGGAUCAUGACCUGAGCCGAAAGGCAGAGACUUUAACCCACUGAGCCAUCCAGGCGCCCCUUCAGAAGGUUUUAUAGUACUACAGAGGCCAGAAAGCAGGAAACUACGUUCGUUGGACUCUUCUGGAUGUAUUUUAUUAUAUUCAUUUCGGUUGACAUAUAGAAAGCAGAAGCGAAACAGAAGCCAUCUCCCAUCUGGUGUUUGGCUCUUUGUCUGCUGGUGGACAAGAGCUCAGAAGUUUUCCUCAGCGGUGCUCUGGUGUGCAGCCACUAGCUUCGUGGGUGUGCAGAAUUGUAGUGUGGUGGCAAGAGCUUCGAUCCUUCUUUUCUGUUCCCUGCUUCGCAGCUAUAGUGGUGAGCCAUAUGGUUCAUAACAUCGGUGGUUCCAGUAUCUGCGUACUGAUGGCUCACCAUGUUGAUGGUUCCUGGCUGGUCAGUUCUCCGUGGUUCUGAGACAUAUACCUGGAGGCUCAGCCUAGAGGCUGCUCCUCCAGCCAUUCUAGUCAACUUGUA